UGCCAGCAGCCGCGGUGAUACGUAGGGUGCGAGCGUUGUCCGGAUUUAUUGGGCGUAAAGGGCUCGUAGGUGGUUGAUCGCGUCGGAAGUGUAAUCUUGGGGCUUAACCCUGAGCGUGCUUUCGAUACGGGUUGACUUGAGGAAGGUAGGGGAGAAUGGAAUUCCUGGUGGAGCGGUGGAAUGCGCAGAUAUCAGGAGGAACACCAGUGGCGAAGGCGGUUCUCUGGGCCUUUCCUGACGCUGAGGAGCGAAAGCGUGGGGAGCGAACAGGCUUAGAUACCCUGGUAGUCCACGCUGUAAACGGUGGGUACUAGGUGUGGGGUCCAUUCCACGGGUUCCGCGCCGUAGCUAACGCUUUAAGUACCCCGCCUGGGGAGUACGGCCGCAAGGCUAAAACUCAAAGGAAUUGACGGGGGCCCGCAC
rnacentral:rRNA from 1 species